CGCUGGCGGCGCGUCUUAAACAUGCAAGUCGAACGAUCUGUAGCAAUACAGGGAGUGGCGGACGGGUGAGGAACACGUAGGAAUCUACCUUGAAGAGCGGGACAACUUUGGGAAACCGGGGCUAAUACCGCAUAGUACAGAGAUGUUAAAGGGCUAGCAAUAGUCGCUUCGAGAUGAACCUGCGGUCUAUCAGCUUGUUGGUGAGGUAAUGGCUCACCAAGGCUACGACGGAUAGCCGGUCUGAGAGGAUGAUCGGCCACACUGGCACUGAGACACGGGCCAGACUCCUACGGGAGGCAGCAGUUAAGAAUCUUGCGCAAUGGGGGAAACCCUGACGCAGCGACGCCGCGUGAAGGAUGAAGGCUUCGGGUUGUAAACUUCGGUAGACUGGGAAGAAGAAAUACGUUCGUUGAGGGCGUAUAGUGACGGUACCAGUCUGAAGCCCCGGCUAAUUACGUG
rnacentral:rRNA from 1 species